rnacentral:ncRNA from 2 species
UUUAACCGCUAGGGGUGUCUAUUUUUGUACGGCUGAGACGCAUUUUGAUAUGCGGACCCUUUGAACCUGAUCUGGCUCAUACCAGCGAAGGGAAGUGGUUCGCCGUUUAA